CUUGCUUCUCUGGAUGAGUUGCGAACGGGUGAGUAACGCGUAGGUAACCUGCCUGGUAGCGGGGGAUAACUAUUGGAAACGAUAGCUAAUACCGCAUAAGAGUAGAUGUUGCAUGACAUUUGCUUAAAAGGUGCAAAUGCAUCACUACCAGAUGGACCUGCGUUGUAUUAGCUAGUUGGUGGGGUAACGGCUCACCAAGGCGACGAUACAUAGCCGACCUGAGAGGGUGAUCGGCCACACUGGGACUGAGACACGGCCCAGACUCCUACGGGAGGCAGCAGUAGGGAAUCUUCGGCAAUGGACGGAAGUCUGACCGAGCAACGCCGCGUGAGUGAAGAAGGUUUUCGGAUCGUAAAGCUCUGUUGUAAGAGAAGAACGAGUGUGAGAGUGGAAAGUUCACACUGUGACGGUAUCUUACCAGAAAGGGACGGCUAACUACGUGCCAGCAGCCGCGGUAAUACGUAGGUCCCGAGCGUUGUCCGGAUUUAUUGGGCGUAAAGCGAGCGCAGGCGGUUAGAUAAGUCUGAAGUUAAAGGCUGUGGCUUAACCAUAGUAGGCUUUGGAAACUGUUUAACUUGAGUGCAAGAGGGGAGAGUGGAAUUCCAUGUGUAGCGGUGAAAUGCGUAGAUAUAUGGAGG
rnacentral:rRNA from 1 species